rnacentral:sRNA from 1 species
UCGGACGUAUGGUUGGAUUAUAGGGGGC